rnacentral:rRNA from 1 species
UGGGGAAUAUUGGACAAUGGGCGCAAGCCUGAUCCAGCCAUGCCGCGUGAGUGAUGAAGGCCCUAGGGUUGUAAAGCUCUUUCACCGGUGAAGAUAAUGACGGUAACCGGAGAAGAAGCCCCGGCUAACUUCGUGCCAGCAGCCGCGGUAAUACGAAGGGGGCUAGCGUUGUUCGGAUUUACUGUGCGUAAAGCGCACGUAGGCGGACUAUAAAGUCAGGGGUGAAAUCCCGGGGCUCAACCCCGGAACUGCCUUUGAUACUGGUAGUCUUGAGUUCGAGAGAGGUGAAUGGAAUUCCGAGUGUAGAGGUGAAAUUCGUAGAUAUUCGGAGGAACACCAGUGGCGAAGGCGGCUCACUGGCUCGAUACUGACGCUAAGGUGCGAAAGCGUGGGGAGCAAACAGG